UGGGGGCAAACCACAUAUUGAGCUAAUGA
rnacentral:piRNA from 1 species